GGUUAAGCGACUAAGCGUACACGGUGGAUGCCCUGGCAGUCAGAGGCGAUGAAGGACGUGCUAAUCUGCGAUAAGCGUCGGUAAGGUGAUAUGAACCGUUAUAACCGGCGAUUUCCGAAUGGGGAAACCCAGUGUGAUUCGUCACACUAUCAUUAACUGAAUCCAUAGGUUAAUGAGGCGAACCGGGGGAACUGAAACAUCUAAGUACCCCGAGGAAAAGAAAUCAACCGAGAUUCCCCCAGUAGCGGCGAGCGAACGGGGAGCAGCCCAGAGCCUGAAUCAGUGUGUGUGUUAGUGGAAGCGUCUGGAAAGGCGUGCGAUACAGGGUGACAGCCCCGUACACAAAAAUGCACAUACUGUGAGCUCGAUGAGUAGGGCGGGACACGUGGUAUCCUGUCUGAAUAUGGGGGGACCAUCCUCCAAGGCUAAAUACUCCUGACUGACCGAUAGUGAACCAGUACCGUGAGGGAAAGGCGAAAAGAACCCCGGCGAGGGGAGUGAAAAAGAACCUGAAACCGUGUACGUACAAGCAGUGGGAGCACGCUUAGGCGUGUGACUGCGUACCUUUUGUAUAAUGGGUCAGCGACUUAUAUUCUGUAGCAAGGUUAACCGAAUAGGGGAGCCGAAGGGAAACCGAGUCUUAACUGGGCGUUAAGUUGCAGGGUAUAGACCCGAAACCCGGUGAUCUAGCCAUGGGCAGGUUGAAGGUUGGGUAACACUAACUGGAGGACCGAACCGACUAAUGUUGAAAAAUUAGCGGAUGACUUGUGGCUGGGGGUGAAAGGCCAAUCAAACCGGGAGAUAGCUGGUUCUCCCCGAAAGCUAUUUAGGUAGCGCCUCGUGAAUUCAUCUCCGGGGGUAGAGCACUGUUUCGGCAAGGGGGUCAUCCCGACUUACCAACCCGAUGCAAACUGCGAAUACCGGAGAAUGUUAUCACGGGAGACACACGGCGGGUGCUAACGUCCGUCGUGAAGAGGGAAACAACCCAGACCGCCAGCUAAGGUCCCAAAGUCAUGGUUAAGUGGGAAACGAUGUGGGAAGGCCCAGACAGCCAGGAUGUUGGCUUAGAAGCAGCCAUCAUUUAAAGAAAGCGUAAUAGCUCACUGGUCGAGUCGGCCUGCGCGGAAGAUGUAACGGGGCUAAACCAUGCACCGAAGCUGCGGCAGCGACGCUUAUGCGUUGUUGGGUAGGGGAGCGUUCUGUAAGCCUGUGAAGGUGUGCUGUGAGGUAUGCUGGAGGUAUCAGAAGUGCGAAUGCUGACAUAAGUAACGAUAAAGCGGGUGAAAAGCCCGCUCGCC
rnacentral:rRNA from 1 species